rnacentral:sRNA from 1 species
UGAAGAAGAAGGAAAAAAAA